rnacentral:rRNA from 1 species
AGCGAACGCUGGCGGCAGGCCUAACACAUGCAAGUCGAGCGCCCUCGCGAGGGGGAGCGGCGGACGGGUGAGUAACGCGUGGGAACGUGCCUCUUGCUACGGAAUAGCCUCGGGAAACUGGGAGUAAUACCGUAUGUGCCCUACGGGGGAAAGAUUUAUCGGCAAGAGAUCGGCCCGCGUUGGAUUAGGUAGUUGGUGGGGUAAUGGCCUACCAAGCCGACGAUCCAUAGCUGGUUUGAGAGGAUGAUCAGCCACACUGGGACUGAGACACGGCCCAGACUCCUACGGGAGGAAGCAGUGGGGAAUCUUAGACAAUGGGCGCAAGCCUGAUCUAGCCAUGCCGCGUGAGCGAUGAAGGCCUUAGGGUUGUAAAGCUCUUUCGUGGGGGAAGAUAAUGACUGUACCCCAAGAAGAAGCCCCGGCUAACUCCGUGCCAGCAGCCGCAGUAAAAC